GAUGAACGCUGGCGGCGUGCCUAAUACAUGCAAGUCGAGCGAACGGACGAGAAGCUUGCUGCUCUGACGUUAGCGGCGGACGGGUGAGUAACACGUGUAUAACCUACCUAUAUUACUGGUAUCACUUCGGGAAACCGGAUCUUAUACCGUAUAAUAUCUUGAACCGCAUGGUUCAAUAGUGAAAGACGGUCUUGCUGUCACUUAUAGAUGGAUCCGCGCUGCAUUAGCUAGUUGUUAAGGUAACGGCUUACCAAGGCGACGAUGCAUAGCCGACCUGAGAGGGUGGUAGGCCACACGGGAACUGAGACACGGUCCAGACGACUACGGGAGGCAGCAGUAGGGAAUGUGACGCAAUGGGCGAAAGCCUGACGGAGCAAGGCCGCGUGAGUGAUGAAGGUCUUCGGAUCGUAAAACUCUGUUAUUAGGGAAGAACAGAUGUGUAAGUAGAUGUGCACAUAGUGACGGUACCUAAUCAGAAAGCCACGGCUAACUACGUG
rnacentral:rRNA from 1 species